ensembl:misc_RNA
UUAGCAGCCCAGGACAUGGAAGUGUUUUAUCCACAGAACAGAUAUAACGCAGACAGCUUCUUCAUGCUGCCCUCUGAAUGUACCUUAGACCUGACCUGGAAGGGCCACUGCAUAAGGGGAGGAAAUAGUUUAGUCUCCAUGACCACUGAAUCCUUGGCCUCC